rnacentral:rRNA from 1 species
AUUGAACGCUGGCGGCAUGCCUUACACAUGCAAGUCGAACGGCAGCACGGGUGCUUGCCCCUGGUGGCGAGUGGCGCACGGGUGAGUAAUACAUCGGAACAUGUCCUGUAGUGGGGGAUAGCCCGGCGAAAGCCGGAUUAAUACCGCAUACGAUCUACGGAAGAAAGCGGGGGAACUUCGGGCCUCGCGCUUUGGGGUUGGCCGAUGGCGGAUUAGCUAGUUGGUGGGGUAAAGGCCUACCAAGGCGACGAUCAGUAGCUGGUCUGAGAGGACGACCAGCCACACUGGGACUGAGACACGGCCCAGACUCCUACGGGAGGCAGCAGUGGGGAAUUUUGGACAAUGGGCGAAAGCCUGAUCCAGCAAUGCCGCGUGUGUGAAGAAGGCCUUCGGGUUGUAAAGCACUUUUGUCCGGAAAGAAAUCCUUGGCCCUAAUACGGUCGGGGGAUGACGGUACCGGAAGAAUAAGCACCGGCUAACUACGUG